CCUACGGGAGGCAGCAGUAGGGAAUCUUCCACAAUGGACGAAAGUCUGAUGGAGCAACGCCGCGUGAGUGAAGAAGGGUUUCGGCUCGUAAAGCUCUGUUGGUAGUGAAGAAAGAUAGAGGUAGUAACUGGCCUUUAUUUGACGGUAAUUACUUAGAAAGUCACGGCUAACUACGUGCCAGCAGCCGCGGUAAUACGUAGGUGGCAAGCGUUGUCCGGAUUUAUUGGGCGUAAAGCGAGUGCAGGCGGUUCAAUAAGUCUGAUGUGAAAGCCUUCGGCUUAACCGGAGAAUUGCAUCAGAAACUGUUUGACUUGAGUGCAGAAGAGGAGAGUGGAACUCCAGGUGUAGCGGUGGAAUGCGUAGAUAUAUGGAAGAACACCAGUGGCGAAGGCGGCUCUCUGGUCUGCAACUGACGCUGAGGCUCGAAAGCAUGGGUAGCGAACAGGAUUAGAUACCCGGGUAGUC
rnacentral:rRNA from 1 species